rnacentral:lncRNA from 1 species
CGCCCAGGACAAUGGAACCUGGAGGAGACGCUGACGGAGACGGACAACGAGCUGAGCAGUGCGCCCUCCUCCGACGAGGUGACUACCGACGCCGGCCAGGAGGAGCUCUCAGAGCUGGAGGAGCCAUCAGAGCAGGAGAGUGAGGACCAGCCGCCUCCCUCUGAGGACGGUCUGCCUCCCUCUGAGGACGAUCCUCCUCCCUCUGAGGACGCUCCUCCUGCUGGGGAGGACGCCGCGGAUCUGGCCGGACUUGAUGAAGAGGAGGAGGGCGAGGAGCCAGUCGUGUCACUAUCCCGUCAGCUGUCAGCGGCGGCCCGUGCGUCG